UACGUAGGGUGCGAGCGUUAAUCGGAAUUACUGGGCGUAAAGCGUGCGCAGGCGGUUCGUCGUGUCCGAUGUGAAAGCCCCGGGCUCAACCUGGGAAUGGCAUUGGAAACUGGCGGACUCGAGUGUGGCAGAGGGGGGUGGAAUUCCGCGUGUAGCAGUGAAAUGCGUAGAUAUCGGGAGGAACACCGAUGGCGAAGGCAGCCCCCUGGGUCAAGAUUGACGCUCAUGCACGAAAGCGUGGGGAGCAAACAGG
rnacentral:rRNA from 1 species